UUUAUCAAUUCAUCAUCAAUACUAGAAUGAUACUCUUGUGAGGUCACAAAUUUUGACAAAUCGUCUAGGGCAGUUUUAGCUCCAAUAAAAUUUGUACCACAAUCGGAAUACAAAACCGAGCAUGGACCACGACGGGAUAAAAAACGUUUAAAGGCAUUAAUAAAAGUCGCAGUGGAUAGGUCAGAAGCCACUUCUAGAUGUAAGGCUUUGGUAACUAAACAAAUAAAUAAGCAUAAAUAAGCUUUCUGGCUUUUUACACCUCUACGACGAGUCAGAGUGAUAUAGAAAGGUCCGGCAUAAUCUACACCACUGUGCAAAAAUGGUUUCGCUUCUGUAAUUCUAGGAGCGGGCAAAUCCGCCAUACAUGGGAAAGUUGCGCGAGGACGAAAUUUAAAGCAAUAAUUACAGUUGCGAAUGCGAUGUCUAACAACAUUUCGUGCAGCUAGAAUCCAAAAUUUCUGACGCAACAACGACAGUGUAAGAUGCGGACCAGUAUGUAAAUUACGUUGGUGAAAAUAGUCUAUUAAGAGAUCCACCAAGUGGUCUUUUUUGGGCAGCAAAAACGGAUGCUGCUGAUCAUAUUCUAAAUUUGAGUUUGAUAGACGUCCUCCUACUCUAAUAACUCCAUCUUUAAGAAACGGACAUAAGGCACGAAUUUUAGGCGAACAAGGUUUAUUUUGCUCUAACAAAGCUAAAUCUGAAGCAAAAUGUUCUCUUUGGACAAGUCUAACUAGCGUUAAUUCAGCGGUUUCUAAGUCUUUGAGUGUAAUAGGAUUUCCUUUUGGCAAUAACUUAAGAAAUCUGAGAACAUAUACAACUGCAUUGCGCAAUUUACUAUACGAAGACGAUCUAUCUAUAAGUUGUCGUAAAGGGUUGACACAACGUGAGAAAGUGACGAGAACUAUCGGUUUCUCUUCGAGUGGAGGUUCGUCUGUAUUAGUUGAAGAGUUAAUAGGCCAUAACUGUUCGUCCAUAAAUAACCAAUUAGGACCAGUUAGCCAAAUCGGGUGGUUUAAAAGGUGCGCCGGUGUUAGACCCCUAGAAAUUGGGUCGGCUGGGUUUUCCUUCCCAUCGACAUGAUACCAAUUAACCGACGGCACUAAUUCUUGAAUUUUUGCCACGCGAUUUGCUACAAAAGUGUGCCAACGAUGAGGAGAUGCGUUUAUCCAGUUAAGUACGACCGAAGAAUCAGUCAGAGCAACAAUGUUUUCUAUAAUUAAUCGCGAUUGGAAAGUGCUUUCUACAAAAUGGAUCAGUCUAGCUAAAAGAAGCGCAGCACAAAGCUCUAAUCUGGGUAUCGAAAGUGACUUUAACGGAGCAACUUUUGAUCUAGCACAAAUGAUUCUAACAGUAGGUACCUUUUCUGGAACUUUUACAUACACUACCGCUCCAUAACCCUUUUCUGAUGCGUCUGCAAAUCCAACAAUUGUCACAGGUAAAUUACUACAAGUUCCUAAAUGACGCGGAAUUUCAAAGUUUUCCAAAAGAUGCAACUCUCCUUUUAAAAGACUCCAAAUUUUUUGUAUAUCAGCCGAUACAGGAUCGUCCCAACCAAGUUUUUGAACCCAAAUUUCCCGAAUCAAUAAUUUUGCAUAUAAGGUAACGGGAGCCAACAAUCCUAAAGGAUCCCAAAUGCGAGCAAUUAUUGACAAAAUAUUCCGUUUCGUACAUUCUAUGUCAGGAACACUAAUUUUAAAACCAAGCAAGUCGGUUUGCGGAUGCCACUGAAAACCUAAGACCUUCAAGGAAUCAUUGCUAAAUUCAACGGGCUGAAAGCAGCGUUCCGAUUCUAAAAUUUCUGACAAUAAUUCAUUAGAGUUUGUUGUCCAUUUGGUUAAGCUAAACCCCCCGGCCCUAAACAAACCAAUUAAAUCGCGAUACAACGCAAUAGCUUCUUCACUGGUAGGAACACUAGUUACAACAUCGUCCAUAUUCGUCCGAGGCAAGUUGCUUAACUGUACGAAGAGCUAAAAAUGGCGAGGCUUUGACUCCAAAAGAGACUACAUUGAUUUCGUAUGUUUGGAGAGGUUCAUUAAUCGAAAAUCGCCAGAGAAUUCUUUGAAAGCAUCGAUGAUCGGGAUUAAGCCAAAUUUGUCUAUACAUCUGACGUACGUCAGCGGUCAUGGCUACAGCAAAUAGUCUAAAAUUCAGUAGCAAAGAAACUAUAUCGGUUUGUAAUUUUUCACCAGUAUAUAAAACAUCGUUCAAAGAAA